rnacentral:lncRNA from 1 species
GUGUCCUCCCUGUCCCCCAGAGCAGACACCCUCUCUGUGUCUGGACCGGGGAGGAGCAGACGCUGGACAGGUUUCUGGUAGAAUGCUGGCAAUUUCCAGGAAGAUACGUGGAGAACGGAAAGGUUGCUACACCCAAAUAGUGAAGCAAAGGCUAUGAUUAUGGAGGAUUGGACCUGCAAACUCCAGAACAGAGCAACCUUGUAAAAUGUGUGUGGGCAGCACAGAGAACUUGGGCAAGUUAACAGUUUCCUCAUCUGUGAAUACUGAUUUAUGGAAAGCACCUGGUGCGUGUUCUGCCCUCUGAGGACCCUGCCCUUUCCCAAAAGGGGUAUCUUAAGAAGGAAAAUAUGGCUGCUCUUUGCCGGACAGCAGAGUCCCAGGAGAAAGACAGGGCUGGAGACCAGUUUGCUGAUAGUGACCCCAAACCAGAAAGUUCAUUGGGCCUGCACCUCCAGAGCAGGCACAGAGACACGUGGUCUUCAGCAGAGCCUAUGGGGUUCAGAUGAUUCACAUAAGAAUAGAAGUUUCAGGGCUGGACCUGGGGAGGCAGCCUGAGCCUGAGCCG